UACGUAGGGGGCGAGCGUUAUCCGGAUUUAUUGGGCGUAAAGCGUGCGUAGGCGGCUUGUUAAGUCCAGAAUUAAAGCCCGAGGCUUAACCUCGGUUCGUUCUGGAUACUGGCAGGCUUGAGUAUGGUAGAGGCAAAUGGAAUUCCUAGUGUAGCGGUGAAAUGCGUAGAUAUUAGGAGGAACACCAGUGGCGAAGGCGAUUUGCUGGGCCAUCACUGACGCUGAGGUACGAAAGCGUGGGGAGCAAAUAGG
rnacentral:rRNA from 1 species